GCUCACUGUCUGACGGAACUCAAAAUGCGGUUCUUCGCCCUGCUUCUCCUGCUGGCUCUCGCCUUUGCCUUCACCGCCGCCAAGACCUUGCCUUGCUGCUUCGGUGGAGGUCAUCACGGAGGCCAUCACGGAGGUCACCACGGAGGCCAUCAUGGAGGUCAUCACGGUCAUCAUGGCUGAUUCAGCUGUGGCUUCUGCGGCUGCGAGUGGGCAGGGGAUUCCCGACUUCCGUUUACCAACAUGACAAAUAAAACUUUCCUCAAGA